UUCGCCUGCAGCCGGGCACGCGAAACCUCCUGCGACCUCUGCGCAAUGCGAUAAAUGCAUAGAACUUGAUCAGAUGUAGCCAAGAGAAAGCGACCGAGCUGAGGAGAUGAUGAAGAAACGCAGGAUGUGCGUGGGGAUUGCCGUCACGUAUCGGUUAUCGACGAGCAACGUAAUGAAUAAAUAAUAUCUGAAGACGAGGAACGAUGCUUCGAAGGAAGUUUUUUAUUGACAUUUCAAUAAAAAUGGAGUAAAUGGCAUAGGCACUUGAUCAGCCCACAUGCAAACUCUGGCUUCGCGGUCGUAAGCGAGUCCAGGGCUACACUGGUACCUGGACGCCUCUCCGUUCCA